AAUCAACGCUGGCGGCGUGCCUAACACAUGCAAGUCGAACGAGAAAGUGGAGCAAUCCAUGAGUAAAGUGGCGACCGGGUGAGUAACACGUGACUAACCUACCUUCAAGUGGGGGAUAACCUAGGGAAACCUGGGCUAAUACCGCAUAACAUCUUUGGGAUGGAAAUCCUGUUGAUCAAAGGAGCAAUUCGCUGGAAGAGGGGGUCGCGGCUGAUUAGCUAGUUGGCGGGGUAAUGGCCCACCAAGGCUUUGAUCGGUAGCCGGCCUGAGAGGGCGCACGGCCACACUGGAACUGAAACACGGUCCAGGCUCCUACGGGAGGCAGCAGUGGGGAAUUUUGCGCAAUGGGGGAAACCCUGACGCAGCAACGCCGCGUGGAGGAUGAAGUCCCUUGGGACGUAAACUCCUUUCGACUGGGAAGAUAAUGACGGUACCAGUGGAAGAAGCCCCGGCUAACUUCGUGCCAGCAGCCGCGGUAAUACGAGGGGGGCAAGCGUUGUUCGGAAUUAUUGGGCGUAAAGGGCGCGUAGGCGGUACGGUAAGUCACCUGUGAAACCUCUGGGCUCAACCCAGAGCCUGCAGGCGAAACUGCCG
rnacentral:rRNA from 1 species